CAUGUAGGCGGAUUAAUAAGUUUGAAGUGAAAUCCUAUAGCUUAACUAUAGAACUGCUUUGAAAACUGUUAAUCUAGAAUGUGGGAGAGGUAGAUGGAAUUCUGGUGUAGGGGUAAAAUCCGUAGAGAUCAGAAGGAAUACCGAUUGCGAAGGCGAUCUACUGGAACAUUAUUGACGCUGAGAUGCGAAAGCGUGGGGAGCAAACA
rnacentral:rRNA from 1 species